ACGAGUUAGGGUCUUUUCUGGCCCGACCUCCCAACCCUUUGUCUACUUGACCAUCGUUGCUUCGGCGAGCCCGUCCUCCUGGACCGCCGGAGGGACCCUCAUCGGCCCUCUGGUCCGCGCUCGUCGGUAGCCCAACUUUAAAAAUCUCUAACUAAACGUGUCUCAAUCUAAGUACUAUUAUUAAAUAAAAGCAAAACUUUCAACAACGGAUCUCUUGGUUCUGGCAUCGAUGAAGAACGCAGCGAAAUGCGAUAAGUAAUGCGAAUUGCAGAAUUCCAGUGAGUCAUCGAAUCUUUGAACGCACAUUGCGCCCUUUGGUAUUCCGAAGGGCAUGCCUGUUCGAGCGUCAUUAUCACCCCUCAAGCCCUCGGCUUGGUGUUGGACGGUUUGGUGGAGGCCCCUUGCGGGUUCCUACCCCUCCCAAAGACAAUGACGGCGGCCUCGUUGGACCCCCGGUACACUGAGUUCUUCACGGGACACGUAUCGGACACAUGGGUUUACGGGACACGGUCUGCCUCCCCUCAGGGAGAAUCUUUCUUAAG
rnacentral:misc_RNA from 1 species